rnacentral:rRNA from 1 species
UACGGGGGGGAGCAAGCGUUGUUCGGAUUUACUGGGCGUAAAGGGCGCGUAGGCGGCGCAACAAGUCACUUGUGAAAUCUCCGGGCUUAACCCGGAGCGGUCAAGUGAUACUGUCGUGCUAGAGUGCGGAAGGGGCUACUGGAAUUCUCGGUGUAGCGGUGAAAUGCGUAGAUAUCGAGAGGGAACACCCUGCGGCGGAAGGCGGGUAG